UUCUCAUUGUCCUUGAAAUCAAAGAAAUCAGAGAAAUCAGAAAGGUCUCUGUGCUGAUCACAAACAGAGAACAGAAACAGUCAGUGAUCAGAAAAACAAACAGAGCCUGCCUGAGGUGCUACAGAUUCUGCUCCUUACAAGACUCACAAGCAAAACAAGAUAAUUGGUGGUUUCUAAGAACUCCUGUUCCCAAGGUGCCCUUAUAUUUUUUCUUGGAUCUUUUCUCCAGGUAGGACCAUGAAGAUGAGCCUGCAAAAUCUCUAGAUUUCUCUGCCAAGGCAGUCACAUAAUCACUCUGCUGUCCUUUUGGUUAACAGAGAAUCCACUUCAGCAGUGAAAAUGGAGUUUGACCUGUCUUGUAUCUGUGACAAGCAACCUCUCUGAACCAGAAACACGUUUUAAAUUACCAGUAUUUGGGUAGAAGGCAGCCUUAGGAUUUUCGCUUCCCUGUGAGCUUUUGCUGGUGAAUCUAAAUUCUAUUUUUGUCAUUUGUAGUGUGUCCCUUUGGUAACAUGGAUGUUCUUUGAUCAUGCAAUGACAGUUUAUGUAAUGUUCAUACAGCAUCUGUUUAAGGACUCUGAAAAUCAGGCUUACCAGUGCAUGGGAGAGACUUCUGAAUGGACAUGUCACAGAGAACUAAGUAUAUAUGUUAGCUCUGUGAAUGGGACUGAAGAACUUCUCCUGCAGGCACUCAAACCCAGCCCUCUGAAGUGUGGGUUUCCAUCUACCUCCUUGUGGUAGCCUGUUAACCCCGAUUCUGUGAUCCCCCUGUUCCCUUCCCUAGUCCUGACCGCUCCCUCGGUUUCUCCCUAUUUGCUCCUGUACCCCAACCCUGCCCAGGGACCACCCUUGGGCCCCUGACAAAAGCACCCCACACUCAGACCACGUGUUCUCUCUACCUCUGAACAUUGAGGGGACAAGAUGUGAUUAAAGCCAU